AGUGAACGCUGGCGGUAGGCCUAACACAUGCAAGUCGAACGGCAGCACAGUAAGAGCUUGCUCUUACGGGUGGCGAGUGGCGGACGGGUGAGGAAUACAUCGGAAUCUACUUUUUCGUGGGGGAUAACGUAGGGAAACUUACGCUAAUACCGCAUACGACCUACGGGUGAAAGCAGGGGAUCUUCGGACCUUGCGCGAUUGAAUGAGCCGAUGUCGGAUUAGCUAGUUGGCGGGAUAAAGGCCCACCAAGGCGACGAUCCGUAGCUGGUCUGAGAGGAUGAUCAGCCACACUGGAACUGAGACACGGUCCAGACUCCUACGGGAGGCAGCAGUGGGGAAUAUUGGACAAUGGGUGCAAGCCUGAUCCAGCCAUACCGCGUGGGUGAAGAAGGCCUUCGGGUUGUAAAGCCCUUUUGUUGGGAAAGAAAAGCAGCAGGUUAAUACCCCGCUGUCCUGACGGUACCCAAAGAAUAAGCACCGGCUAACUUCGUG
rnacentral:rRNA from 1 species